rnacentral:rRNA from 1 species
UACGUAGGGGGCUAGCGUUGUCCGGAAUCAUUGGGCGUAAAGAGCGUGUAGGCGGUCCGGUAAGUCCGCUGUGAAAGUCGGGGGCUCAACCCUCGAAUGCCAGUGGAUACUGUCGGGCUAGAGUGCGGAAGAGGCGAGUGGAAUUCCGUGGUGUAGCGGUGAAAUGCGCAGAUAUCAGGAAGAACACCCGUGGCGAAGGCGGUUCUCUGGGACGGUACUGACGCUGAGACGCGAAAGCGUGGGGAGCGAACAGG